GGGGAUAUAGCUCAGUUGGGAGAGCGCCGGCUUUGCAAGCCGGAGGUCGACGGUUCGAUCCCGUCUAUCUCCACCA
rnacentral:tRNA from 2 species